ensembl:lncRNA
UGUAAACACACACAGACACUAAGUAAGUAAAUGACUAUGGAGGGAAUCUUGCUGAAAUGCUCGGCUGUUUGCCUAACUUUCAACUGCUGACAAUAGGUAUCUUGGAAAGUCUUUACCAUUUUCAGGGAAUUUUUCUGAAGUUCAAAGAUCGCCUAAAAGAACAGAUAACAUAUGCAGGCUUCUAAUCUCCUUGUUGAACAGAAAUUAGUUUUCCAUGGCUCUGUGUGAUUUGAAGACCUAGUUGCCCAGAGAGGUUGUGGAGUCUUCCUCUUCAGAGUUCUUUAAAAGUCACCUGGACAUGGUCCUGGACAAGUGGCAUUAGAUGUCCUUGCCUGAGCAGAGGUUGGACCAGAUGACCUCCAUAUCUCCCUUCCAGCUGAUCCCUGCAAUGACUGAUUCUCACUUCAUCUUUGGCUGUCAGUAAAGGUGCUUUCAGAGAUUUUAUUCAACUUUUUUAAGUCAGUUACAAGACAAUAUCAUCAUCUUGAUUGUUGCUUGCUUCCAUCUGGGUAUUGCCAUUAAUUCAGAUAUUCACUGUGCAUAAUUUUUUCAUUUUUUUCUUUGUAACGUUUCUAGGACAGUUUCUUGAUUGUUGUCUACAAAGCUAAACUCCUGUCUUGGCUGCUACAGUGUCAUGCUGUCUGUUAUUGAUAACCACAAAAAAAAAAA